rnacentral:rRNA from 1 species
UACGUAGGGUGCAAGCGUUGUCCGGAAUUAUUGGGCGUAAAGAGCUCGUAGGCGGUUUGUCGCGUCUGCUGUGAAAACCCGAGGCUCAACCUCGGGCCUGCAGUGGGUACGGGCAGACUAGAGUGCGGUAGGGGAGAUUGGAAUUCCUGGUGUAGCGGUGGAAUGCGCAGAUAUCAGGAGGAACACCAAUGGCGAAGGCAGAUCUCCUGGGCCGUAACUGACGCUGAGGAGCGAAAGCAUGGGGAGCGAACAGG